AUUCCCUUUGACUCAACUGCUGUGACUGUCACUGCGGUUCAUCAUCAUCACCAUCAAAUGGUUUGGGUUGGAAGGGACCUUAAAGCUCCUCCAGCCCCAACCCCUGCCACGGGCAGGGACCCCUUCCACUGGAGCAGCUGCUCCAAGCCCCUGUGUCCAGCCUGGCCUUGAACACUGCAAACUCACCCAUCUUGCCGAAUGCUGAAAGGUUGGGCCUGAUGAUCUUCAGGGUCCUUUCCAACCUGGGCUAUUCCAUGGUUCUGUGUUUGCUAAACCACGUCUUUUUCACAGGACACUUGACUUCGCUGACAGCCCUGAAUCUGAGACACUGUCCCAUUGAAUUUCCUCCUAAAGAGGUCAUACAAAAGGGAUUAAAAACCAUCCUGUCCUUUCUUCGGGACUCUGGGAAUGGAACACUACCCUGCAUGGAGACAGCCACAUCAGAAACACCGCCGGUCAUGGAGCUCCAUCUGAGCGAGCUGUGGCAGCGCAGCCUGGAUCUGUCCCAGGAGCGGCCAAGGCAGGAGGAGAAGCGGCGGCUCCGGGAGCUGCGGGCAGGAACCAGCAGGAAGCAGAAGGAAGCGCUGCUCGCGGAGGGAUGUGAUGGAUGUGAUGGUGCUGGCCGGGGCCGGCAGAAGCCGCAGCUGUGCCCGCACCCAGCGGGCACCGGCAGGACACUGCAGGGGAAGCGAGCGGACAAGUGCAGGUGGGCAGCAGAGAAGGAGCUGAAGAAGGAACGAGCUUUGUUCAACCAAAGGAAAAAACACCCAAAAACGUACCAUAUGCACCUGAUAACAUCAGUCACCACACCGUGA
rnacentral:lncRNA from 14 species